UGUGUAGGCGGUUCUCUAAGUCUGGUGUGAAAUCUCCCGGCUCAACUGGGAGGGUGCGCCGGAAACUGGAGAGCUAGAGUGCGGGAUGGGAGAGUGGAAUUCCUGGUGUAGCGGUGAAAUGCGUAGAUAUCAGGAGGAACACCUGUGGUGUAGACGGCUCUCUGGACCGUAACUGACGCUGAGACACGAAAGCGUGGGUAGCAAACAGGAUUAGAUACCCUGGUAGUCCACGCCCUAAACGAUGCACAUUUGGUGUGGGUCAUUCAUUUGAUCUGUGCCGGAGCUAACGCGUUAAAUGUGCCGCCUGGGGAGUACGGUCGCAAGGCUGAA
rnacentral:rRNA from 1 species